GUCACUUAUGUCUGUAAAUAAACAAAGUGGUUGCUAUGAUCGAUAUAUGUAGUUAAGGAACAGAAAGGUGUACUCCACCUUAUAUAUUGAUUUUUUGUAGAAAAUACUAUGUAUUAACAAGCUGAAAGGUAAACUAUAAAAGGCCUGCUCCCGAGCAUGAAACUCAUAUUAAGCCUCCUAUCGUCAAUUAACACUCAAUACCUAGAAGUAACUCCUAUCCAGGCCAAAAACCUAAUCUUUCAAACCAGAUCAAUAGAUUUGCCGAUAAACCACGAAUAUCAUUACUUAUCUAUUAACUUUACUAAACCCGAAAAUACUUAUGAAGAACUUAUUAAACAAACUCAACCUUUUAAUAACUCACCACAAAUACAGUAUCUAGUAGUAAAACUUAACAGAGAAAUGAACGGUAUAAUUUAAUUUUAAUUGUAAGCCGUAGUAAAAGCGGUCUUGUUAACUUUAUGGGAACAAUUAAAAUUGUUCUUAUUCGGUACUUUAGAUUAAGAAGGCAAAGAAACUUUAUUACAAAAAUAGCCAACAUUUCUAAAAAUAAUGUACAAAUAAGCGAACUUAACCACGUAAUAGAAGUCAUUAACAAAAGAAUCGAAUUGAAUAGUCAUUUAAAUCAUAACUUUGAAAAAGAACAUAUGAUAGAUUUAAACAUUUUUAAUUUACAGCAAUUUACUGAAUACAUUGAAACAUAGAGCUUGGUUUGAAACUAACACGCUAAGGUACAUAUCUUUUAAUGCAAAAAUUAUAAACACGAUUCAUUAGUCCACGUUAAUUCUGAAAAACUUCUUAAUAUCAAAACGUCAGCUUGGCUUAAAUCUGAUACGAACGAAAUUCUGAUAAUAUCCCAUAUUCCAAGAGAAAUAACCAAAACACCCGUUUUUAAAAUAAUACCCUACCCAGACGGAAAAAGUUACAUACUAACCGAAACAAUACAUGACAAAUAUUUUUCACACAAUAAUCAAACAUACACGGCAAGUUCUUAGUUGUAAAUAAAUGUAUAAUUGGUAUACUAAACCAGGUCCCAACACAAUGUAGAUACAGUAAAACACAUUCUGAUUUUGAAAUAAAAUAUGUAGAACCUAAUAUAAUCACAACUUGGAACCUUCCCAAGACUAUCUUAAACCAAAACUGUAUCAAUAGAGAAACUAUAAUAGAAGGCAAUAACAUGAUAAAAGCAUUGAAUUGUUCGGUCCAAUUAGAAGAAAUAUUAAUCACCAACAUAAUUAUAGACUAUACUCAUACUAUCUAUGUAAAAAACAAUGUAACAAAUCUUGAACCACUCGAAUACAUUCAGACAAAACAUUA